GGGGGCGACAGGCUUCGACAGGGGCUUGUUCAGAUCUUUGGAUGCACGUCGGGCUUGCUUUCAAUAGACCGUUAAUACAUUGAAAGAAACACAAAUGCCACUAAUAACAUGGCACUUGCUGCCUAAUUAAACCUAGCGACAGCAAUGUCUUGCCGGAAGUCAGCUUGAUGCGACCGGACAAGGCAUCACACAGUUCAAGCUAGAGGACGUUCUCCACCUGCGAACGUUUUCGAAACAUCAGCCGGGUUAGCUUUUCGCAAGGUCUUGUCGGUUCACCUGCUUGCGAAGGGCGAAACUAAAAGUGAACGCGACUAAACGUGUAGAGUCCACUGGUCGCAACUCUUGGAUGCGGGUUCGAUUCCCGCCGCCUCCAUUG
rnacentral:tmRNA from 1 species